ncrna:unclassified sequences RT-4 RNA
UACACCGCAGGCAGUUGAGACACUGCUAACCAGUGAAAAUGAUACCGAUGCAGGCAGGGUCGAGUAUUGGAAAAGAAAGACCUUGAGGUGAUAAGA